rnacentral:rRNA from 1 species
GACGAACGCUGGCGGCGUGCCUAAUACAUGCAGGUAGAACGCUGAAGGAGGAGCUUGCUUCUCUGGAUGAGUUGCGAACGGGUGAGUAACGCGUAGGUAACCUGCCUGGUAGCGGGGGAUAACUAUUGGAAACGAUAGCUAAUACCGCAUAAUAGUAGAUGUUGCAUGACAUUUACUUAAAAGGUGCAAUUGCAUCACUACCAGAUGGACCUGCGUUGUAUUAGCUAGUUGGUGGGGUAACGGCUCACCAAGGCGACGAUACAUAGCCGACCUGAGAGGGUGAUCGGCCACACUGGGACUGAGACACGGCCCAGACUCCUACGGGAGGCAGCAGUAGGGAAUCUUCGGCAAUGGACGAAAGUCUGACCGAGCAACGCCGCGUGAGUGAAGAAGGUUUUCGGAUCGUAAAGCUCUGUUGUAAGAGAAGAACGAGUGUGAGAGUGGAAAGUUCACACUGUGACGGUAUCUUACCAGAAAGGGACGGCUAACUACGUG